GGAUAACAUAAUAUGACGAUUUUUAAAAUUUGUUGGAUUCUUUUAAAGAUUGUAAUGAUUAAAAGGAAUAGUUGGGGUCACUCGUAUUGGGUGGGGAGGGGUGAAAUCCUAUGAUCCAUUCAAGACGAACUACUGCGAAAGCAUUUGACAAGGAUGUUUUCAUUAAUCAAGAACGAAAGUUGGGGGAUCGAAGAUGAUCAGAUACCGUCGUAGUCUCAACCAUAAACUAUGUCGACAAAGGAUAAUAAAAUAUUAAAUGAAUGAUUUUUAUUGCACUUUACAAGAAAUUAUAAGUAUUCAGACUCCGGGGGGAGUAUGGUCGCAAGGCUGAAACUUAAAGGAAUUGACGGAAGGGCACCACCAGGAGUGGAAUUUGCGGCUUAAUUUGACUCAACACGGGAAAACUUACCGGGUCCGGACACAGUAAGGAUUGACAGAUUGAAAGCUCUUUCUUGAUUUUGCGGGUGGUGGUGCAUGGCCGUUUUUAGUUGGUGGAUUGAUUUGUCUGGUUAAUUCCGAAAACGAACGAGACCUUAACCUAUUAACUAUGUAAUAAUAAAUUUCGAUUAACUUAGUCAAAUCAUUUGUUUUUUUUUUUUCUACUUAAAGGUACAAUUCAUUUUUUAAUGAAAGGAAGUUUAAGGCAAAAACAGGUCUGUGAUGCCCUUCGAUGUUCCGGGCUGCACGCGUAUUACACUGACAUGUUCAAUAAGUUUUUAAACUCCUAGUCUGAAAAGACGUGGUAAACUUUGAAAAGCAUGUCGUGAGUGGGAUAGUAUUUUGUAAUUAUCGCACUUGAACGAGGAAUUCCUAGUAGGGAUGGUUCAUCAAACCAUCCCGAUUACGUCCCCGCCCUUUGUACACACCGCCCGUCGCUUCUACCGAUUGAAUUAUGCGAUGAGGAUUCAGGAUCGAUUAUGAGGAACAUUGAAAGAUGUUUUAAUUAGUUGCUAAUUUAUUCAAAUCUUGUAAUUUAGAGGAAGGAGAAGUCGUAACAAGGUUUCCGUUGGUGAACCAGCGGAAGGAUCAUUAAACUU
rnacentral:rRNA from 1 species